rnacentral:misc_RNA from 1 species
AGUUCUCAAGACUUUGGAUUUGCGUCCGGAGUCUUGGAGUUGGAGCCUGUCGGCGAGAGUCGACUGCUCUGAAAUGCAUUAGCCAUGGCGAACACGAUCGGCUUGAGUGUAAUAAAUCUUUUAUAUGCACGACGGUCCGAGAGUACACACCGGGCUCACAAAGCACCCUUACUUUUUCAC